CUACGGGUGGCUGCAGUGAGGAAUAUUGCACAAUGGGGGGAACCCUGAUGCAGCAACGCCGCGUGGAGGAUGACGCAUUUCGGUGUGUAAACUCCUUUUAUAUGUCAAGAAAAUGACGGUAGCAUAUGAAUAAGCACCGGCUAACUCCGUGCCAGCAGCCGCGGUAAUACGGAGGGUGCAAGCGUUACUCGGAAUCACUGGGCGUAAAGGACGCGUAGGCGGGUUGGAAAGUCAGGUGUGAAAUACUACAGCUUAACUGUAGAACUGCACUUGAAACUUCUAAUCUAGAGUAUGGGAGGGGGAGAUGGAAUUAGGGGUGUAGGGGUAAAAUCCGUAGAUAUCACUAGGAAUACCUAAAGCGAAGGCGAUCUCCCGGAACAUUACUGACGCUAAGGCGUGAAAGCGUGGGGAGCAAACAGGAUUAGAUACCCCGGUAGUC
rnacentral:rRNA from 1 species